CCUACGGGAGGCUGCAGUGGGGAAUAUUGCGCAAUGGGCGAAAGCCUGACGCAGCGACGCCGCGUGAGGGAUGAAGGUCUUCGGAACGUAAACCUCUGUCAGCAGGGAAGCACGGUCACUGUGCUAAUCAGCAGUGAAUUGACGGUACCUGCAAAGGUAGCACCGGCUAACUCCGUGCCCGCAGCCGCGGUAAUACGGAGGGUGCGUGCGUUAAUCGGUAUUACUGGGCGUAAAGCGCUCGUAGGCGGUAUGUCAAGUCAAGGGUGAAAUCCCCGCGCUCAACGUGGGAAGUGCCUUUGAAACUGGCAAACUUGAGUGUGCGAGAGGAUAGUGGAAUGCCAGGUGUAGGAGUGAAAUCCGUAGAUAUCUGGAGGAACAUCAGUGGCGAAGGCGACUAUCUGGCACAUAACUGACGCUGAGGAGCGAAAGCGUGGGUAGCAAACAGGAUUAGAUACCCCAGUAGUC
rnacentral:rRNA from 1 species